UGAACGCUGGCGGCGUGCUUAACACAUGCAAGUCGUACGAGAACACUUCUGCUUGCAGAAGUUAGUAAAGUGGCGCACGGGUGAGUAACGCGUGGGCAAUCUACCUCCGAAUCGGGGAUAACUUCGCGAAAGCGGUGCUAAUACCGGAUAAUAUCUUUUUUUCUUCGGAAUUUUGGAUCAAGGGUGGCCUCUACAUGUAAGCUACCGUUUGGAGAUGAGCUCGCGUACCAUUAGCUUGUUGGUAGGGUAACGGCCUACCAAGGCUACGAUGGUUAGCUGGUCUGAGAGGAUGAUCAGCCACACUGGAACUGACACACGGUCCAGACUCCUACGGGAGGCAGCAGUGAGGAAUUUUGCGCAAUGGGGGAAACCCUGACGCAGCAACGCCGCGUGAGUGAUGAAGGCUUUCGGGUCGUAAAACUCUGUCAAGUGGGAAGAAAAUGCUUGAUGUUAAUACCAUCUCGCACUGACGGUACCACUGAAGGAAGCACCGGCUAACUCC
rnacentral:rRNA from 1 species